UAUCCUAAAUGAAUAUUGACUUGCUUACCCUUGCGAUGCCCUGUUUCGCCGCGAAGCUGAAGAACGACAAGGGAGCGGCCAAACACUGGUUAAUAUUUCAUAUUCAGAGCGGCAGUAAAGAGCGCCUAUUGGACGAAUUCGUAUCAUUAUUGCAGAGGAUAAGAUGAAGUCGGGAGUGAUUUCUUUGGCAGAGUUUCCAAAGUCGCUGUUCCUCUUGUGGACGGGAAAUUGUAAGUCUAUGAAUGAUGAAUGAUAGUCUAUUAUUACUAGGUUUGGAAUGUCUAUUAGUUAAGGGCCAAGGCACAUCUGAAAAUGUCUUUAUUGACUUUGUUAGGUUAUUUCUGUUACAUGUUUGAUUCCUUUUUGAAAAGGCUGAGACUUAUGACAAAUGUCUGCCAAGUGGGUAGGCCAUAAGUCUUAAUUAUUACUUCCUGAAGGGGCUCCUUUUAAUGUAUUAUUUUUUGCCCCCUUCUAUUUUUCUUGUAUUAUGAGGAAUUCAAGUGCUUCAACAACUGGAAUUGAAGGACAAGUUCCAGGCAUUCAAGGUAUCAAAAUCAAAGUCAAAUCCAAUGUCAAAAAGAAAGAUAUAUAAAUCAAGUCAAGUCCAACUGUCAAAAUAGAAAGUCAAAUCCAAUUUCAAUUAUUCCCUGUUUUUUUCUUUCUUUUUUCUUCAAUCGAGGUCGAAACAAAAAUCAUUCCUAAACAAUUCGGAGCAUCCCGUAAUAAUGGAUUUGUAAUGUAAUGCAGUCCAAAAUUCAGGUUUUUAUUGGGCGUUGUAGGUUUGAUUUAUAAUACCAAACUCAUUUUGUUCUCACAAGUCUUUAACUUCAGUACUUUUUCUAUUGUUUCAUACUUGAUGAUCCCAUUUUUGUUUUGUUUUCAAUUCUUUAUGCAUUUCAAUAGUUUUUAGAUUUUGAGUGACCUUGGUUAUAUUUUGGCUCCCCAAAUAGCCCAAGCUUGAAAUUACUAAUUUUGACCCCCCCAUAUAUAAUAUAUAGACAUUGUUCCUUUUUUUUCUUAUCAAUUCUCAAUUCUCAAUUCAUUUUCUAUUUUUUAUCAUAUAAAAAGCAAGGCAUGUUUCAGUGUUAUAUGCUUGGUUUGGCUUGUAUCAUCUUGUAUUUCUCCCACAUGGUGUUGAUAGGAAACUGAAAACUUGGCCAUUUUUACACCCCAAAAGCUGACUAGAGGGGAAAAAAAGAAGAAAGAUUUUGUUCAAAGCAACUGAUUCUAUUUGCUCCCUUGAAAUUAAAAAAUAGAGUUGAGUGAGGGCCAUACAAACAGCCCAUAAAGAUUUGUUGUCUUUUGCUACAUGAUUACCAUUUGAAUUUAGCAAGUAUUUUUAUUAACACAUUGUUCCCUCUUCCCACUGCAGUUCUAGACCCAUCACAGAGAUCAAGACCCUGUUUGGUUGCUAGUUGGAUUAAACUUUAAAGUAAUGCUUAGUUUAUUUACAAUAUCCUAAUCUUUUAUUAACCAUGUGCUUCUCUUUUCUUGUUUGUAACACACAGCCACAAACUCAUAUAUCAUAUGUCACAACAUUAACUUUUUCAACAGCAAAGAAGGAAAGAAAACUUUUCUCAGGCUGUGAAAUUGAGAGCCACAAAAUCCAAAGUUCAGGGCUUUUCUAAAUUCCAUAUGGCGCUCCUUGUUGUAAUAAUGUUUAGAUGCUUUUUAGAUAUAAUCAUCCUUCUUUUUAAAUAUAUAGAGAGAAUCUGUAUUGACAAUGACAACUUAGGCUGCCUAUUUCUCAAAUUUUGUCUUUAAACUUUUUUUUUUUUUUUUUUUUUUUUGUAAUUUUGGGGUAAAAACCUAUUUUUAUGAGGUGCCUUGUCAGCAUCUUUAGAGCAUUUGUAACAGAUUUUUUCCCCUUCUUUCUAUUAUCAAGUUUUUAUUUACUGUAA